AGGAUGCAAGUGUUAUCCGGAAUCACUGGGCGUAAAGCGUCUGUAGGUGGUUUGAUAAGUCAACUGUUAAAUCUUGAGGCUCAACUUCAAAAUCGCAGUCGAAACUAUUAGACUAGAGUAUAGUAGAGGUAAAGGGAAUUUCCAGUGGAGCGGUGAAAUGCGUAGAUAUUGGAAAGAACACCGAUGGCGAAAGCACUUUA
rnacentral:rRNA from 1 species